CUCAGUUCGGAUUGAAGGCUGAAAUUCGCCUUCAUGAAGCCGGAAUUGCUAGUAAUGGCAGGUCAGCAUACUGCCGUGAAUACGUUCCCGGGCCUUGUACACACCGCCCGUCACACCAUGAGAGUUGGGAAUACCCGAAGCCUGUGAGCUAACUUUUAGAGGCAGCAGUCGAAGGUAGAAUCAAUGAUUGGGGUGAAGUCGUAACAAGGUAUC
rnacentral:rRNA from 1 species